AGAGUUUGAUUCUGGCUCAGAACGAACGCUGGCGGCGCGUUUUAAGCAUGCAAGUCGAGCGGCAAGGGUCUUCGGGCCCCUAGAGCGGCGGACGGGUGAGUAACACGUGGACAAUCUGCCCCCCGGCCGGGGAUAGCCCAGGGAAACCUGGAUUAAUACCGGAUGAGACGGGACCCGCGGAGGCGGGAUCCGGGAAAGGCGCUGCGGCGCCGCCGGGGGAUGAGUCUGCGUCCCAUUAGCUUGACGGCGGGGUAACGGCCCACCGCGGCGACGAUGGGUAGCCGGCCUGAGAGGGUGUACGGCCACAUUGGAACUGAGACACGGUCCAGACUCCUACGGGAGGCAGCAGCUAAGAAUCUUCCGCAAUGGGCGAAAGCCUGACGGAGCGACGCCGCGUGAACGAAGAAGGCCGUGAGGUUGUAAAGUUCUUUUCGGGAGGGGGAACAACCGUGGCAGGGAAUGGCCGCGGGAUGACGUGAAUCCCGGAAUAAGCCCCGGCUAACUACGUGCCAGCAGCCGCGGUAACACGUAGGGGGCGAGCGUUGUUCGGAAUCAUUGGGCGUAAAGGGCGUGCAGGCGGUCCUGCAAGUCCGGCGUGAAAGACCCCGGCCCAACCGGGGGGGCGCGCUGGAAACUGCAGGGCUUGAGUACAGGAGGGGAUGCCGGAAUUCCAGGUGUAGGGGUGAAAUCUGUAGAUAUCUGGAGGAACACCAAUGGCGAAGGCAGGCAUCUGGCCAUGUACUGACGCUGAGACGCGAAGGUGCGGGGAGCAAACAGGAUUAGAUACCCUGGUAGUC
rnacentral:rRNA from 1 species